rnacentral:telomerase_RNA from 1 species
AGAAUAGCGGGUUUACGAGCAGAACGCAUAGCACUGUAAAGUGCAUCUUGCGUUCGUGGUGACCUAACCAAGACCUGCAGGGAAAUUUCUUUCUCGGCUAUAAAAGUGUCUUCACUAGGAAUGUUACUUGCAUUUUCUCUCUUUAAAAGUGGUUUGUUCGCCCUGCUUCCACUUACAGAAAAACAGAAAGGGUAUUCCUCGUGAACCCCUAUUUUUGUGAUAAUAAGUUUGCUCAUUUUCAUAGAUAUUUUU